GAUGAAGAACGUAGCGAAAUGCGAUAAGUAAUGCGAAUUGCAGAAUUUCCGUGAAUCAUCGAAUCUUUGAACGCACAUUGCGCCCCUUGGUAUUCCAUGGGGCAUGCCUGUUCGAGCGUCAUUUGUACCUUCAAGCUCUGCUUGGUGUUGGGUGUUUGUCUCGCCUCUGCGUGUAGACUCGCCUCAAAACAAUUGGCAGCCGGCGUAUUGAUUUCGGAGCGCAGUACAUCUCGCGCUUUGCACUCAUAACGACGACGUCCAAAAGUACAUUUUUACACUCUUGACCUCGGAUCAGGUAGGGAUACCCGCUGAACUUAAGCAUAUCAAUAAGCGGAGGA
rnacentral:misc_RNA from 1 species